AAAUUUCAGUCUUCAACAAGUGAAGGAGGAAAUUCUGGAAGUUCCAUGGGAUUUUCCGCAGUUCCAGUUACUAUAACAUUAAUAAUAACGUUGUUACAAUUGGGACCAUCAAAGUAGAUAUUAUCCGACUCUAGAGAAAAGGAAGUUCUCCCAUUCAAGUUCUGAAGAUACCACAUGAUGAAACAAAAAGUAACCGUCCAGUAGGAGGUCAUUGACUUGGAUAAAGUGUUUUGUUUGUUCGUUCGUUAUUGUUUAACUCAAAACUGCAAAAUAAAGUUCAUGAAAAGUCAUCCAAUAA